rnacentral:rRNA from 1 species
UGGGGAAUAUUGGACAAUGGGGGCAACCCUGAUCCAGCAAUACCGCGUGUGUGAAGAAGGCCUUCGGGUUGUAAAGCACUUUAGGUUGGGAAGAAGGCAUGUAGUUUAAGAGAUGACAUGUUUGACGGUACCAACAAAAUAAGCACCGGCUAACUCUGUGCCAGCAGCCGCGGUAAUACAGAGGGUGCAAGCGUUAAUCGGAAUUACUGGGCGUAAAGGGCGCGUAGGUGGUUUGUUAAGUGAGAUGUGAAAUCCCUGGGCUUAACCUAGGAACUGCAUCUUAAACUGGCGAACUGGAGUACUGUAGAGGGUAGUGGAAUUUCCGGUGUAGCGGUGAAAUGCGUAGAUAUCGGAAGGAACACCAGUGGCGAAGGCGGCCUCCUGGACCGAUACUGACGCUGAGACACGAAAGCGUGGGGAGCAAACAGG